rfam:Haemophilus pittmaniae HK 85 ctg1129913985423, whole genome shotgun sequence.
GCGUAUUAUGCGCCCCGAUUUUUUCACCAGAAGGACACACACUUUGGACAGUCACAGUCGAUACCGAAUAUCGCACUAGACUCCGCCUGAAUUUAUCGGCGGCGUCGCCG